rnacentral:tRNA from 1 species
ACUCUAGUAGCUUAAUCAACAAAGCAUUGGUCUUGUAAACCAAAGACUGAGGACCACAAAUCUUCCUAAAGUA